AGCGAACGCUGGCGGCAGGCCUAACACAUGCAAGUCGAACGAACUCCUCGGAGUUAGUGGCGGACGGGUGAGUAACACGUGGGAACGUGCCUUUAGGGUCGGAAUAACUCAGGGAAACUUGUGCUAAUACCGAAUGUGCCCUCCGGGGGAAAGAUUUAUGGCCUUUAGACCGGCCCGCGUCUGAUUAGCUAGUUGGUGAGGUAACGGCUCACCAAGGCGACGAUCAGUAGAUGGUCUGAGAGGAUGACCAGCCACACUGGGACUGAGACACGGCCCAGACUCCUACGGGAGGCAGCAGUGGGGAAUCUUGCGCAAUGCGCGAAAGCCUGACGCAGCCAUGCCGCGUGAAUGAUGAAGGUCUUAGGAUUGUAAAAUUCUUUCACCGGGGACGAUAAUGACGGUACCCGGAGAAGAAGCCCCGGCUAACUUCGUGCCAGCCGCCGCGGUAAAAC
rnacentral:rRNA from 1 species